rnacentral:lncRNA from 1 species
CACAUUUGCAGCACAUGCCAAAAAAUGACUAACAUAUUUUCAGAUGCUUUAGUGCAUUCUUCACUUCUACUUAAGAGAAAGACAGAGAGGAAAUAGGAAUUUGUGAUUAGGGUCCAAAAGCUAAAGCCCAGAGAGUCUGAGUUCAAGUUUCCUCUCUGCUACUACUAGCUGCAAGAUCUUGGCUAAAUUACUUAGCUCUGUACUUGCAUUUACUUACCUAUGAAGCGGGGUGAUGAUAGCAUCUACCUCAUAGGGAUGCUGUGAGGAUUAAGUGAGUUAUUAUAUAUGGACCAGGCAGUUCUACAUCUAGAAUUCUUAGAACAGUAUUUAGCUCAUGGUGAGGGCCUGUAAGUGUCAGCACUGUCAUCCUCAGUACUAUCAGAGUGAGUAAAGAUCUCUUUGAAAAGAAUGGGCUACCUGGUGGAGGGACAUACAUUUCCUAGCAGAAAAACUCAAGUUUGGGGUGAUUAGCCAGAAGGGGACUGAUAUUUCACUCAUCACUCCACCUCACUCUCUAGCUGAAUGAUCGUGGAACUGAAGAAACACCUAGACACUUCCAUAGCUGCUGUGGGAGUAGACAUGGUGAGAGAAUUCUGGACAAAAUUAAUCCGCAUCCUCUGGCACAUGGAAGGCCUUGAGAGCUCCCUUACCACUUCUGCCGUGUGAGGUUACGGUGAGAAUAUAGCUC